AGAGUUUGAUUAUGGCUCAGGAUGAACGCUAGCGAUAGGCCUAACACAUGCAAGUCGAGGGGCAGCACAUGAAGCAGCAAUGCGGAUGGUGGCGACCGGCGCACGGGUGAGUAACGCGUAUGCAACCUACCUACGAACAGGGGAAUAACCCGUUGAAAGACGGACUAAUACCCCCAUAACACAGGGAUCCCGCAUGGGAAUAUUUGUUAAAGAUUUAUCGGUUGUAGAUGGGCAUGCGUUCCAUUAGCUAGUUGGUGAGGUAACGGCUCACCAAGGCAGCGAUGGAUAGGGGAACUGAGAGGUUUAUCCCCCACACUGGUACUGAGACACGGACCAGACUCCUACGGGAGGCAGCAGUGAGGAAUAUUGGUCAAUGGGCGCAAGCCUGAAAACCCCAGCCACGUCGCGUGAAGGAAGACGGCCCUACGGGUUGUAAACUUCUUUUGUAAGGGAAUAAAGUGUAGUACGUGUACUAUUUUGCAUGUACCUUACGAAUAAGGAUCGGCUAACUCCGUGCCAGCCGCCGC
rnacentral:rRNA from 1 species